CAUUACUCAGUCAUUCAGCUGGAGGAGAGUGACGCCUCGGUCCGGAUCGCUGCCGUCUCCACGAGAUAAACUCUCCUGUUGGGUUCAUGAAGGAAGAAUCAUCUACUUUGGUGGAUAUGGAGUGAAAUCAACAAUCAGAAGAGCUUCAUUGUGGAUGAAGCCGAGGACAUCUUCUGGGGAUGGAACAAUGAAGUUCAUGAGUUUGAUCCAGAAAGAAGCAGCUGGACCGAACCGCAGACCUUCGUGAAUCAUUCAAACCUCAUUCAGCUUCGUGAAUCAAAUGUUUUCAAUUCAGUCAUGUGUUUCCAGCUGUACAAAGUUAGGAAUUAAAUGAGUAUGUGUUUAAAUCAGUCUAUGAAGUGUGUUUGUGAAUGAUUGACAGGGACGAGCUCCUCUCUACGAUCGGCAGCGAAGGCUGUGUGUGCGGUGGAAGAAUAAAGGUGAUUUAGAGACUCCCUUAAAAUCAUUUGUCCUGCAUUCAUACAGACAACUUA